AGGAGGGGCAGGGGCCGGGCAGCUGAGCCUGGGAGGGGCCGGCAGCCUCAAGAGGAGAGAAGGGCCCUAUCCACUGCCCUUGCUUUUGUGGAGAAAGGCCAUUCCCAACCAAGUGCUCUCUCACAGCCCUGCAAGUCUCUAAAAAGGAAACUAGGGACAUUCUGGAAGAUACUCAAAGAAACCUUUUAUCUUUCUCUUUGCUCUUCACUCACUCUUUUGUCCUCUCUCCUCUUCACGGACAGGGGAGGGACCAUCUGAUGAGACCGAGAAAAACAAAGGCCAAGGUGGAAACUCUAUUCCAGCUUCCUGACCUGUGACUGAGUGGGCUUGCCUGGGCUUCCAAAUCAUCUCUCUAGUCCCCCUGCUCCAUUAUUCACUCACCCUUGGGGUAAGUGCUUCCCAGCCCAUGCCACCCCCAACCAAACCCACACCUCCACACCUCGGAGUGAGUGUGCAGCCGCCCCAACUUCCCCCGCUGGAGCAGGCAGGUGGAUUUCAGGACACUAAGCAGCUCUCAGCACUCAGGAGACCACUUCAGCCUUUUGCUGAGAAAAGCAGGCUCUCAUGUUCCUUGGAAGAUUAGCUCUACAAGUUGUCCCUGACAAGAGUUUUAUGGUCAGGAAACAUACUAUAAUUUUCCAAAACAAAAAAAAUCAGUAAGAAGAAUGCCAUUGUUUUACACUUUUGAAAGUCUAUUUAAUGUCUGGCUUAAUAGAAGACAGCUGGAUUCUCAUACCUGCUUCUAUAUGCAACCUAUUGUGACAUCACACGACAUGUGGUCUUCAUGACAUGCCACUGUAUGCUGGGUUUGAGUGGGCCCAGAAUACGCCGGAACCAAGAAGAGCUAUCUUUUACUCUUCUUCACAUAUUGGAGAAGGAUGAAACAGUAUUUCAUCUUGGCCCUGGGGAGGUUUGAAGCCUAGACACAAAGCGGAACAGAGGGAAAGAAAGACACCAGCUCCCAUGCAGAAGUCCCCUCCCUUGGGCCAACCACAUGAAACUGAGAGAUGGGUCUAGAUAAGUAGGACCCGGCUGGGUCCUUUUUCUGCAGAGUCCCCAGGUGAACAAUCAAAUAGAGCUAAAAAUUUUUCUGCCUUGGGCCGAAAUGGAGAAAAUGAAACCUUGAGGAGCUUGCUUUUAACCAUGGCAGUAGCUACACCCCUGUUUCCUCUGCAAGAACCUAAGUUUAUGAGGCUCACUUUAGAAGUUCUGACUUUGGAGUCAGGUAGAUAGGACAUAAUCCCAGCUCACCCUCUAACUAGCAGGGUAACCUUGGGCAGAGCGCAUGGCCCAUCAGAGUUUUAGUUUUAUCAUCUAUAAAAUGGGUUAUUGGGGCCAGGCCAGUGGUGCAGCGGUUAAAAUUUGCACGUUCCGCUUCAGCGGCCAGGGGUUCACCAGUUUGGAUCCCUGGUGCGGACAUGGCACCUCUUGGCAAGCCAUGCUGUGGUAGGCGUCCCACAUAUAAAGUAGAAGAAAAUGGGCACGGAUGUUAGCUCAGGGCCAAUCUUCCUCAGCAAAAAGAGGAGGAUUGGCAGCAGUUAGUUCAGGGCUAAUCUUCC
rnacentral:lncRNA from 1 species